GGUCUCUUAGCUCAGCUGGAUUUAGAGCAAGUGCCUUCUAAGCACUAGGUCGUAGGUUCGAGUCCUACAGAGAUCACCA
rnacentral:tRNA from 1 species